UUAUAUGAGAAUAAUAAAAAGUAAGGAAAAAAGUGGGGUUCAGAAACUUUAUUCUUAACCUCAUUCUCUUCUGCCAAUUACCACAAUUUUAGAAUCGUCAAAUACUAGUAGUAUGGUAUGUAGGAAAAUUAUACAUACGUAUUAUAUAUUAUUGUUUGUCUAAGGGAAGCUGUAUCCAAAAAUUCCUUUCGAUGAAAAUUGUAGAUUAUAAAAUUAUCUGUAAACAAUUACGGAAGACCUAAGCUGAGGUGUGACCUAAUAUUUUAUACUCUUGUAACAACAAAGGUCAAAGCUGGCUAAUACUAUUCAUAUGGUAAAAUUAAACCAAUUUUUCUUAAAAUAAAUGAAAUAUAAUUUUAAUAAAUUGAAAGAUCAGAGCCUACUGUCCCGGUUUUUUCUCUACGACCCUUCGAAUACAUUAAAUAUUAUUAUACACGUGGACUUUAAUAUAUGAAAAUACGUUAUUUCCGGUAUAAGAAUCCAAAGGAUUGUACUUGAGGUUUAAUUUUGAAAAUUAUUAAUUGCAAAUAUUAUGAAUUUUUCAUUGGAAUUUUACUGAAAAUUUUAUUUUGUUUUCUUGGUUCUUAAAUUUUGAAAACAUGCUAAUGUUUACAAAUAUAUUUUUUUACUCUUGUAAAAUUUUGCUACAGAGUAUAAUAAUUUUGUUCACCUAACGGUUGUUUGUAUCAUCAAAAAAUAAUCGAGUUAGAUAUAGGGUUAUAGGCCGUCGGUGCAAGCUAUAACGUUACUAAAAAAUUAGAUUUAUCCAUGAAAAAUUAAUACACGCAUUCCUUGCCAAAAAAAAUUAAAGUUCUUAGAUGGGCGUAAUCCUACCACUGCCACGCCUACAAAUUGCCAUUAACCGAAAACGUAUAAAAUGCCAUAACUAAGUACUAAAUAUCAUCGCAUUGAGCAAACAUGUUUGAAAAAGUGGGCAUCGCCCUCUAAUAAGUUUAAUGUACAUAUCUCCUUAAUCGCCCAGUACGAAUAUUAUAAGAACUCCUAUCGACAGUGUAAAAAUUGAUGAAAUCGGAAGAUAAUCCCGCUCACUUCCUAUAAUAUAGCAUAGUACCGUUACUGUUAAAAACUACUAAAAGUGUAAUAAAUCAAUAACAAUACCCCAGAGACUUACAUUUUACCUCUGAGAUGGUAUUAGAGAGCUUUAUGGAACCGGUGUGAAAAUUGGACCUUUGGACGUGGCAUCGCCCACUUUAUGGUAAAAUUCUAUAUUUCGGGACUCCACCGACUGAUUUGGACAAGAUUCAGUUUUUUUUUUUUAAUUCCAUUGAUUCUUUCACUUUCCAGUACACAAAUCAAGAAGCAAUUAAUAUAACGGGAUAAAAAUUUUCACUAAUAAUUCAUAUGAAGUAACCUUAUGACCGACAUUUUCAAAUCCAAUAAAGAGAUACCGAAAUACCUAAAGCUGACUUUUGAUACAAAAUAUCGGUCAAUGUGUGAGAUAUAUAAUGGAAAUUCAUAAUAUAAUCCUUCUCUGGCAAUGGUAUGUCUGAAUGUCAAAAAUGGUUUGAAUCGGGCCAAUACUUCUCUUAGCCCCCAUAUACCUAAUAUAAAGAUUUUCGAACUUCGACUUUGUACCGCAUAUAUCGGCUAAUAUUUCAGUUAUUUCAAGUAAAAUGAGAGAGCGUGUUUUACUCAUUACAGUGUGUCUUUGUGCCUAAAAUAGAUAAAUUUUGACGAAAACUUGUCCUAUUGUCCUAUCCCCUAUUUAACAAAUAUUAGGAUUUUCGAACAUCCGGCUGACUUUAUUGUAUAUGAUUGCUUGUUUAGUAUGUGGCGUUUUAUGUAUGUGGUAUUGGAAAAUAUCGAUAAAAUCGGUUGGGUACUACCCUAAAUUAUAUAUACUACUUUAUAUUGAUCUUUGUUUUUCUAACCUUAUGUGUCUGUUAGUGUAUGAGUUAUGUAUAAAAUAUGUACAUAUAUAUUAACUUUCUUUGAUUUCGAUCCUCUGGUUGACGAUUUACACAUUAAAGUAAUUCCCCUUUGAUUCUUGUAUGUUGUAAGAGUAUAAAAUGUUUGGUUGCGAACUUAGCUCUUCCUUACCUGUUAUAUACAUAGAUAGAUCUUCCCGUCAACGAAAAUUAUAUUAAUUUGAAAUUGGUCGAAAAUAUGUGAUUUCACACUAAUGUGAGCGGUGCCACGACCAUCGUCCAAUUUUGACUUCGACUCUUUUUUAAAGCCCUUUCACCAUCCAAGAUGUAAAUUAGGGUAAUACAGCUUUAACAGUUUGAAAGAUAUCGUACAGUAAACCUAUUAGGGGGCGGAGCCAGAAACACAGGUAUCCCUUGUUAUUGUAUCUCAUUGUACCAAGUCACAGUUUUGUAUAAGCAGCAAGGCUUAGUUCUUUUCAAUUUCCUACUGAGUCCAAAUUAGCACCUGUUGGAAAGAGUUAUUCUGCGUUGAUUUCGAGGCUGACAUUGUUGUUGCUGUUAAUGCUAUAUCCAAGAUAAACGAAAUUAUCUACAAUUUCGAAGUUAUGACUGUCAACAUAGCCGUGAAUGCGGCGACUGAUUGUUUGAUGACAGGAGAUAUUUUGUCUUGCCCUCGUUCAUUGCCAAACCCAUUUGCUUUGCUUCCUUAUCCGGUCUGGAGAAAGCAGAACUAACGGCGCGGGUGUUGAUGCGAAUAUAUCAAUAUCAUCGGCACACGCCAGCAGUUGUACACUCUUAUAGAAGAUUGUACCUGCUCGAAUGAGUUCUGUGGCCCGAUUAAAGAAGUCGCACGAUAAGGUGUCGCCUAGUCUGAAACCUCGUUUAAUAUCGAAUGACUAGGAGCGAUCCUUCCCGAUUCUGACGGAGCUUUUGGUAUUGCUCAACGUCAUUUAAACAGCCGUAUUAGUUUUGCUUGAAUACCAAAAUCCGAUAUCGUGGCAUAAAGACCGCUCCUUUUCGUGCUGUCAAAAGCAGCUUUAAAAUCGACGAAGAGGUGGUGUGUGUCGAUUCUCUUUUCACGGAUCUUUUCCAAAAUUUAGCGCAUGGUGAAUAUCUGGUCAGUUGCUGAUUUUCUAGGCCUAAAGCCACACUGAGAAGGUCCAAUCAGUUUUUAGUUGGUGGACUUUAAUCUUUCGCAUAAUACGCUCGAUAGAACCUUAGCGAUACUGAGGAUCCUUAUCCCAGGGUAGUUUGUAGAUUAAGCAGCGCACACUUAAAUCCCAAUCUUUGGGCAUGCUUUCGUCCAACCAUAUUCCACAAAGAAGCUGAUGCAUGCUCCUUUUCAGUUCUUCGCCGCCGUGUUUGAAUAGCUCGGCCGGAAAUCCAUCGGCAUCCAUCGCUUCGUUGUUCUUCAGACAAGUAAUUGCUAUUCGAACUUCUUCAUGGCCUGGCAAUGGAACGUCUGCUACAUCGUCAUCGAUUGGGGAAUCCGGUUCGCCUUCUCCUGGCGUUUUCCCUCCAUAAUUUUAGCAUGCUUUGGGCAUCGGAUACUAGAUCGCCUUCGGGGGAUCUACAAAAGUAUGCUCCAUUCUGGAAACCUUCUUUUAGUCGCCGCAUUUUUUCGUAGAAUUUUUGAGUAGUAGCCCUGUCGGCCAGCUUGUCCAGCUCUUCAUACUCACAUAUUCCAGCCUCUCUCUUUUUCUGUCUGCAAAUGCGUCUCGCUUCUCUCUUCAACUCUCGGUAUCUAUCUCAUAGAAAACAUCCGUGGUCACAUCGUCCUUCCCUUCCGUCGGGACGUGUGCGCAAAUCAGCGAUAUGUUGAAGAACUUCGCUUUGAUGCGCAUUUCUUGGACGGCGGUGAUGUCAGACUUUACUCUAACGAGAAUAUCAACCAGUUGGUACCUUCCCAAUUAAGGGACCGGACAUUCCAAGCGCAUGCUCUUAAAUCGUUAUCCUUAGUGCGUUUGCCAUGGUCGUCAUCAAAAAGGGGGUCUCUCAUCCGAGGCUUAUUGUUCUUUUUCAUUGGGGGCGUUUUUUACGUGGGUGUCCCAAAGAUACGCCUUCAGCGGGAUGUUCUUAGUGUACCCAAAGAAUACUUGAUUUAGGACCGGAAGUAGUGAGCUGCUUGAGCCAUAUUAAAAAGAAUAACUUCUGGCCACUCCCAAGUGAGUGGCAAUCAGAAAACUUUCCUCACUUGCGUGAACUUCUACACAUGACUCCAUCCUCUCAAGGCAAGUUUUUGUUAUUUAUAGGUUUUUGAUUAAUGUCGUUUUGUGGGCGUGGCAGUGUUCCGAUUAUGCCAAUUUACGUCCUCCCGAUUCGACCAAGAAACACUUGUAUAAAUUUUCAUGACGAUAUCUUGAUUUUUACCGAAUUACAACUUUACACCAAAUUACAACUUGCACAGACGGACGGACGGAUAAACAUUCUAUUAGUUCUAUUAGUUUCGACAUCCUGAUGAUUUAUAGCCAUUUAUUGCCAAAAUUAACCAACUAGAAGCGGAAUUCGUAGUUGCUGUUCGAGUGGCGAUGUUUUGGUAACAAUCGACUAUAUAGGGGCUGCCGGAUUAUGCAGGAGCAACAGUUAUAAUUAGAGUGCUGCUUAGUAAAGAUCUUCAAGCAAGAAUUUGUAUACCCGAAUAACCAAUAAUAAACGUUAAGUCAAUCCAGUGAUCGAACUCAAGAGAAGUUACGCGAUAGAUGAUUUAUCGUAAAAUCCGUUACAAUUGGUGUCAAAAGUGGGGUUGUCUAAUUAAUUUCCGAAGAGAUAAUUGUUAAAAUCGCUAAGUUUAAGGAUCUGAAGAAUCUACAACUGAAAACGGUAACUGGAGCAAAGUGUGUUUGCAACUAAUGGAAUAAAAGCCGAAUUACAAUCAUAUUUGGAAGAGGCUAUGAAGGCGAAAAGCAUUAAUGCCGCGGAAUAUGUCUUUAAAUUUGAAUAAGAGGAAGAAGCUCAGUGUUCAUUAAAAGUUAUGAACAUGGACACGUUUUUGGCGCAGGAGUUAAGGAGUUACAUGGGUUUCCUAGGGCAAAAAACGGCCUUUUUUCCAUAAUUUUUUUGACACAUAAAAAAUGGAAUAUUUUAAUGAUUUUUUUUUAUUUAAAAGACUCAUAUUUAAUAAACAUUUUGUAAAAUUAAAAAAAAAUAUCAAAAUGGCAGUCAUUACGACGCCAUUUCCGGCAGUCCCUCGGAAAAAAGGUGCAUCCGCGUUGUCAGCAGAACUUCUUUCAGGAUCAUCUGAAAGAAAUAAAAAAUACAUGUUUUAGUAAAGACAAUAAACUAGGUAUUGGACGAAGGAAAAAAAAAUAAAAUUGGAUUUUUGGCAGACGUUUUUAUAAAAAAAUGCAAAUUUCAAUGAAAAUUUCUCGUCAAUUUUUAUUUAAAUAGUUGUAAUUAAAAAAAAAUCCUUCGUUCCAGAAAAUUUCAUCAAGAUCGGUUUAGUAGUUCGCGAGAAAUCUUGACAACCGACUUUGAAAACAUAUUUUUGAGAAAAACGCGUUUAAAGAUGGCGCAGUUAGCCUAGCUAGCUGCAAGCGCACAAGUUCUCAAAGGCUGUAUCUCCGAAACUAUUAGUCGGAUCAACUUGAAAAUUUAGG